UCAAGAACUCAUCUUGCAGCAUGGAGGAAUCGUGAUGAUGGCUGCAGCCCCCAGAAGGUGAACUUGGCAGGAGCUGGCUGAGAUGAUUUUUCUGCUGAUGGUGAAAUGUGCUGGCAGAGUCUAUACAGCCACUUUUAGGUGAUAUAUUACGUUCUGGUGAAAGCAUUCUUCCUAAUACAAGCUGAGAGCUUACAGCUAGGAGACAACCUCCAGGAGCAGAGAUCACACACUCUCGGGCAGAAAAACAGCUUCUGUAUUCUUCCCUGUUUACCAUUCUGGCAUCAAUUUCAAGUGCUCAGUCCCUCAAGCUCUUUCCUCUUUACAAAAGCCCGGCUACUGCAACAAAGCAUCCUGUCUGCUGUAAGUUUCAAGAGACUCUUUGAAACUACUGACCAUCUUUCUCACUGCAUUCAUGCUGCAACAACCCAAAUCCUGCAAAGCUCUGACUGAAUCAGGAAAAAGUGACCUUGGUAGCUAGUCUCCAAAGAUGGCCACCACCAAUACUUGCCUUCCUGCGAUAUAUAUCAUACUCCUUGUAUCAGGAAGAGAAGUGUAAUUCCCUCCCCAUGAAUCUAGGCUGGCCUUAGUGACUUUCUUGGCCAAUAGAAUAUAGCAGAAGGCACAUUCUGGGAUUUGUAAGACUAGGUCGCAGGAAGCCUUAUGGCCUCUGCCAGGCCUCUUGCAAUGCUUGGCCUUGGAACACUCCCUCCUACA
rnacentral:lncRNA from 1 species